GAUCGUUCGGAUCUUUAGGAUGGGGCCGGUAUGACGACCCUGUCAAAGUCAUACUAUACCCAGACUUACCCCACGCUUAGAUACUAGGCUGACGCACUUUUCGUUAGAUGUUG